rnacentral:rRNA from 1 species
UACGGGGGGGGCAAGCGUUGUUCGGAAUUACUGGGCGUAAAGGGCGCGUAGGCGGCUUUUUAAGUCGGGCGUGAAAUCUCCGGGCCUAACCUGGAAGGGUCGUUCGAUACUGUCGAGCUAGAGUGUGGAAGAGGCUACUGGAAUUCCGUGUGUAGCGGUGAAAUGCGUAGAUAUACGGAGGAACACCAGCGGCGAAGGCGGGUAGCUGGGCCAACGCUGACGCUGAUGCGCGAAAGCCAGGGGAGCAAACGGG